rnacentral:rRNA from 1 species
AGAAUCAACGCUGGCGGCGUGCCUAACACAUGCAAGUCGCACGAGAAAGGGACUUCGGUCCUGAGUAAAGUGGCGCACGGGUGAGUAACACGUGAAUAAUCUACCUCCGAGUGGGGAAUAACUGAGAGAAAUCUUAGCUAAUACCGCAUAAUACCCACGGGUCAAAGCAGCAAUGCGCUUGGAGAGGAGUUCGCGGCCGAUUAGCUAGUUGGCGGGGUAAUGGCCCACCAAGGCGAUGAUCGGUA